GCCGCCUGGCCGCGGGAUUUCCGUAGGUGANACCUGCGGAAGGAUCAUUCGCACGAAAUGUUUUCUGCUAAUCGUUUGCGGGAAUGGGCGAUGGUUUACCUAUCACGUUCAACCCUCCGUUUUUACGGAACCAUUUAGUAACGUACUGGAUGCUUGCAUCUGUGGUAUAUCAUUGAUUGCCAUAUUUUAGUAUUCUUUGCAGCGGUGAAUGUCUUGGCUCGAGUAGUGAUGAAGGACGUAGCGAACUGCGAUACGCAUUGUGAUUUGCGGAAUUCAGUGAAUCAACAGACAGUUGAAAGCAUGCGGUACCUCCACUUCCAAGUGAAGGUUUCCCUGGAUCGGUGUUUUAAUUUCUUGCAUACUGUUUGGUAACCCCGAGCACUGGUGAGUUGCGUGCUAGCCUAUCUUCGGUUGGCAUGUGAAUUAAAGCGUCCCAUUCGCGAACCAUUGCGACGUGGAUUUACAUCUAUUUUGCAAUGAUGAUUCGUGCGUGGGUUUUCGUUUUUCCGUCAUUGCCUUUGCCUUGACAAAUUUCUAAAUUAAGCCCGAUCUCAGAGACGACCACCCGCUGAAUUUAAGCAUAUCAAUAAGCGGAGGA
rnacentral:rRNA from 1 species